rnacentral:rRNA from 1 species
AGUCGAGCGCCCCUCACGGGGAGCGGCAGACGGGUGAGUAACGCGUGGGAAUCUACCCAACUCUACGGAAUAACUCAGGGAAACUUGUGCUAAUACCGUAUACGCCCUUCGGGGGAAAGAUUUAUCGGAGUUGGAUGAGCCCGCGUUGGAUUAGCUAGUUGGUGGGGUAAAGGCCUACCAAGGCGACGAUCCAUAGCUGGUCUGAGAGGAUGAUCAGCCACAUUGGGACUGAGACACGGCCCAAACUCCUACGGGAGGCAGCAGUGGGGAAUAUUGGACAAUGGGCGCAAGCCUGAUCCAGCCAUGCCGCGUGUGUGAUGAAGGCCUUAGGGUUGUAAAGCACUUUCACCGGAGAAGAUAAUGACGGUAUCCGGAGAAGAAGCCCCGGCUAACUUCGUGCCAGCAGCCGCGGUAAUACGAAGGGGGCUAGCGUUGUUCGGAAUUACUGGGCGUAAAGCGCACGUAGGCGGAUCGAUCAGUCAGGGGUGAAAUCCCAGAGCUCAACUCUGGAACUGCCUUUGAUACUGUCGAUCUAGAGUAUGGAAGAGGUGAGUGGAAUUCCGAGUGUAGAGGUGAAAUUCGUAGAUAUUCGGAGGAACACCAGUGGCGA